CUUUGCUCAGCAGGGGCUUAUGCCAAGUCAGGCAUGGGGCCCAGGCAGAUUCACGGUUUUGUGUUGCCUUGCCUUCCCUGAACCUUGCUGCUCCUCUGAGCGGCCAGCGCUUCCAGGAAAGGCUGGUGGAGUUGUGAGUGGAGAAGCACCAGGUGGAGCUCAGGUGGUUCAGAAUGAAGGCAGGAGACUGAAAGGUAUCAGGUUGGACGCCCAGAGCCUGGUGGGCCCCUGUCCCACUCCCCAGCACUCUUUAGAAGCAGAUUCCUGCUCAUGUGCCCAGCCACAAGUCCCCAGGUGUGACUGUCCCUACACUCUCGCUCACUCUCCAGCCAAGUCUUGUCUUUUUGAGGGGUAAUGAAUUUUAGGUCUGCAGAAUUCCUUGAUUAUCUGUAUUAGUUAUUCCCUCAGCAUCCCCUCAUGUUUUCUUAUAUUUUACCCACUUACCCAUUGAUACACAUCCUUAGGAUCUAAAAUGAAGUGAUUUAGCAGCAUCAAUUUUAAGACUCAUCGACUUUUUAAAAACUAAUUAAGGAAUGGAGAGAGGAAGCCUGCCCCAAAGCUGCAAUCAGGCUAUCGGCUACUGGGGGACAUGGGAAGAACCCUGGUGGCCUUAUCUUCCUGUUUCUGAAUCCUGGCCAUAGGCUGGACCUGGGCUCCUUAGGGCUCUUCCAGCUGCCAGUCAAGGAGCACAGCUGGUUUGCUCUUUGGGCUGUGGCUCUGGGUCUGGAAGGAACAAGAAACCCACGCCUGGGCAGAAAUCUCGGGUGAGAAACUGGAUAUCAGAAGGGCUGUGCAGGAUCUCUAAGUUGGCCUCAGCCUUUAGUUGAAACCACUUAGUUGUAGAGCAGGGAACAUGGGGGCUGGGGCAGGGGAGGGAGGCACAGGUCCCUCAUCAGAGAAACCUUCUGCUUUCCCUACACAGCAGCCAGCAUCCCGUCCUGAGCCUGCAGGGGAGAAACCAUUUAAAGUAAAUGUGAGGGAUUCUCACAUUUUACAAUGACUUCUGCUGCUCAUUUGACCCUUGUGGCUCUGUAGUGGAGUAUCUCUAUUUGACAACGAUGGAACCUGAGACUCAGAGAGGGCAAGUGAGUUACUCAAGGCCACACAGUUGGGCAAGGGAAGCCGUACACAGGACUCCAUCCACAGCUUGCUCUUGCCCCUCUGCUCAGCUGGGUUCUGAGGCCAGGUCCUUGCCACAGUCCUCAACCCUGGCUGGCACACAGCAGGGAAGGAAGAGUUUUCCAGCAGCUUCUGCAUGUCCCUUCCCUAACAGGGACUAAGAAGGAGGGCUUAGUCUCUAAGCCAGGGAACUGAAAGUCCUGGCCACGGAAACCUCUAGAUUGAAGAGCACCAGCAGCUGAAGAGUGGGUCACAGUUUUGUAAGCUGCCACCAGGCUGCCUGUUUUCUGGUGCUUAGAGAUGAAGGCUGACCUCGAAAGCCCUCACCAUGUCCAUGAAGCCUUACAAGACCCGGCCUCUGGCUACUUCUCCAGGCUCAUUGCCCCCACUCCGCUCUCCUCUUCACUCUCUCAGCACUGCCACAUCGACUUCCCAAAGCCUACCCAGCCUGCCCAGCCUUGGAACUUCAUCAGCUCUAAUCGGCUGGCUUGGAAUUGCCCUUCCCAGACACCCGCUCGGCUCCCACUCACAUCCUUCCUUUCCCCAAUCCCUCUGGUGCCUCCAGACCUCCUGCAUGAUGGGCCUGUUUCUUCACCACUUGCCGUCACCCCGUGGGGUGGGCGGUGUGUUUCUUCUUUAUCACCUUGGUCAGUGCUGCAUGUUGCUCUGUAGCCCUUGGUUGCUUCUCUCCCCUACCAGUGCCCACAGGGCAUGUCUUUUGUACUCUGUUAUAUCUCCAGUUCCUGGCCCAGGGUAGGCACCUGAUAAAAAUUUAGGGAAUGCUUAUAUGGUCUAGAGACCAAUUUCCCCUUUAGAUGUUUAGAUGUUGACUGUCCCUUUUCUCCAAGUAAGGAGAGUUGUGAUGGGGUGUGGAGAGGCACAGGGGAGAGAAGGAGCGGUGUUACCAGCGAGUCUGUCUGUCAAUGAUAUCUCCCCCAACCCCUUUUUGUCCCAGAGGUGUAGACGCAGGUCAGACAACUUUCCAACUCUAUGUCGCUUUUGCCUGUCCCUCCAUCCCUGCUGUGGUGAGCCUCUCAUCUGAGCCUCCCCAACAGUUUGUGCAACGACUCCACUUAACGUUGGUCUGCCGACUGUCAUGGACAUCUGUGAGUUUCCUGUGCCUUCUUGUUUAACAACGAUCUCAGCUUGUGUCAAGGGAGUGGUGGCGGCAUGCGGUAGAGCUGUCAGAGGGGUCAGCUUGGCCUGGGUUUGGGCUCAGGAGUGCCAGCUUCCUCGAGGAGUGGGAGGUCGGUCAUGCAAGGGAGCAUUGAGCCCAGGCCCCAGGAUAACUGAGACUGUUUGGAGGUGGUGCCCCAACCCUUGCUUACGUGGGCGGGUCUCAGAGGGGUGAGGCUGGGCUUGCCUGCUGAGCCCUGCAAAUGCAGGUGAGGUGGCUCAAGCGUUUCUACCUGGACUGGUGUGGAGCUCAGGCCUCUGCGUCUCUCUCUUCCUGUGUGUGCAGAGUCAGCUGCUCUGCCCUGGUGGGUCUGUGUGUUUGUGAACGUGUGUGUAUUCGUGCCAUGAGUGUGACACCUGUGGGUGUGUGCUUGUGUGAGCUGUGUCUGUGUACAUCCUCACAUGUAUCUUUUUCUUUGUGGGGAUUUCCUUCAGGCCUGUGAUUCUAAAAUCAACACAACCAAAUUCACACUCAUCGCCGGCUUUCCCUGUCCUACUGUGGAGCACAUGAACCCGGGGACGCAUUCGACUUUCCUCUGGAAAGCGAAGGGAGGUCUUUCAUCUUUAAAGUGAAGGUCCACUGAAUGAACGACGGCAGCCAUGAGCAAAAGACAUGGAAUCCUCUUGGAUGGGCAAGCAGCUCCGCAAGAAGACUUGGAGAAAAAACGGUGAACUCGAUGAGAACUGUUCCCCUAGGAGCCUCCCAAGGUGCCCUGCCAUCUGCGCCCAAGAUGGAGUCAAGCUCGUUUCUGACUCUGCCCAAGCCCACUUAAAAUCGGACCCUAAGCCAGUCCCUGACCUGCUUGAGCCUGAGUUUCAUCAUCCUUGUGAAUGAGGGGACUACCUGCCACCUUCCCCCGAGCGUGGGAAAAUGGGCUCCUCCAGUCACCUAUGAGGAAUUCCCCAGUGCCCAGAACAGGAUCUUGCAAGCUACUGCUGAGCCUCCUCUCUGCAAAGCCUUGGAGUUAUAGCUUCCUCCUAGGCUCCAGGGAGAGCGAGACUAGAGAGACCAUGGCCACAGCACCCGUGCCCCUUGUCCACCCAGCUCACUGCAGCCCACAGCUGCCCUUCCUUCUGCUAUACACCUCCAGCAGGUGCUCCCUUCUGCAGAGUAAAGAGCCCCAUAUUCCCUGGGGACACAGAAAGUGUGUGCUGGCCCCAAUCCGCUUUAGGUCUUGCCUUCUGGGGACAUGGUCUCAGUGGGCACAAGGUAAUUUUGGACAGGUUUCCAGUUUAAUAGAAGAAAGCUGUUCCUGUGGUCGGUUAAGCCUGCAAUUCCUGCUUCAAACAACUCCCUAAACCUGUUUUUCUUACAUGUUGGGGUCCCCCAGUGGCCGUCCCCACUUGCCCACAUGCCAGAACCUGGCUCCUCCUGACCAGGCUUACCCAGCAUUCGCUGCAAGACCCUGCCUGCCUCCCCUCCCAAUUCCACUGUUGAAAUAAA